rnacentral:lncRNA from 1 species
UAAAUUUGAACACCCCGCCAAGAUGAGAGUUUCAAGAGAGCUCAAAUUGCAAAUGCUCUCCGAAAGACUUCUUAGGCUUUUGCAAUAAGACAAAUCUAGGUGUUGAAGAGCCUUUAGACGUCCAAUUGAGGAUGGAAGCUCUUCUAUACCUGUAAAACUCAAAUAAAGCCUUUUUAGAUUUUCCAUAUCAUCUUUGAUUUCUGGAAAGCCCUUUAAAUUUGAACACCCCGCCAAGAUGAGAGUUUCAAGAGAGCUCAAAUUGCAAAUGCUCUCCGAAAGACUUCUUAGGCUUUCGCAAUUAGACAAAUCUAGGUGUUGAAGAGCCUUUAGAUGUCCAAUUGAGGAUGGAAGCUCUUCUAUACCUGUAAAACUCAAAUCAAGCCUUUUUAGAUUUUCCAUAUCAUCUUUGAUUUCUGGAAAGCCCUUUAAAUUUGAACACCCCACCAAGAUGAGAGUUUCAAGAGAGCUCAAAUUGCAAAUGCUCUCCGAAAGACUUCUUAGGCUUUCGCAAUUAGACAAAUCUAGGUGUUGAAGAGCCUUUAGACGUCCAAUUGAGGAUGGAAGCUCUUCUAUACCUGUAAAACUCAAAUCAAGCCUUUUUAGAUUUUCCAUAUCAUCUUUGAUUUCUGGAAAGCCCUUUAAAUUUGAACACCCCGCCAAGAUGAGAGUUUCAAGAGAGCUCAAAUUGCAAAUGCUCUCCGAAAGACUUCUUAGGCUUUCGCAAUAAGACAAAUCUAGGUGUUGAAGAGCCUUUAGACGUCCAAUUGAGGAUGGAAGCUCUUCUAUACCUGUAAAACUCAAAUCAAGCCUUUUUAGAUUUUCCAUAUCAUCUUUGAUUUCUGGAAAGCCCUUUAAAUUUGAACACUCCGCCAAGAUGAGAGUUUCAAGAGAGCUCAAAUUGCAAAUGCUCUCCGAAAGACUUCUUAGGCUUUUGCAAUAAGACAAAUCUAGGUGUUGAAGAGCCUUUAGACGUCCAAUUGAGGAUGGAAGCUCUUCUAUACCUGUAAAACUCAAAUCAAGCCUUUUUAGAUUUUCCAUAUCAUCUUUGAUUUCUGGUAAGCCCUUUAAAUUUGAACACCCCACCAAGAUGAGAGUUUCAAGAUAGCUCAAAUUGCAAAUGCUCUCUGAAAGACUUCUUAGGCUUUCAUAAGAAAACAAAUCUAGGUGUUGAAGAGCCUUUAGAUGUCCAAUUGAUGAUGGUACUUCUAUAAUAGUCGUUUCACUUAAAUUAAGCUCUCUUAGUUUGCUCAUAUUUCCCUUGAUUUCCGGAAAACUCUUUAGCUUUGAACAGUCCU